GGAUCAAUACGUCGGUCGUGCCUUCGGUACGUACUGUCGUCAUUGGUUUCUCCCUUCUGACGAACCAUGAUGUCAUUAAUUUGGUGUUAUGGGGAGUUAGGACUGUUACUUUGAAAAAAUUAGAGUGUUUAAAGCAGGCAUUAGCUUGAAUACAUUAGCAUGGAAUAAUGAAAUAGGACGUUCGAUCCUAUUUUGUUGGUUUCUAGGAUCAACGUA
rnacentral:rRNA from 1 species